GGCUCUGUAGUGAAGUUCAUGGUGAGUUGCAAGCUCAUUGAUGUGCGUUGGUCACGCACCGGGGCCU
rnacentral:tRNA from 1 species